GAAGGCGAGGGAGGCGGAAGAAGUCUAUUCGAGUUGAUUGAGCUUCGUGAUCGGAUUAUCAAAUGAAACUCAAUGAAGAACCGCGAGACGACUAUAUUUGCGAAUUAAUAGGCGCUUUGAGAGGCAGUUAAUGACUCUAUUCGGAUACGGAUGCAUGCCGAAUAGAGUAUUCGGUAUGUGACUCGCAUUUAUCGUCGCGUUGCGAUUGGAUGACCGUCAAUGUUUUCCUGAACCGACGACCAGGCUACACUUUGCAGACGGCCUUCCGCGUAUAAUUGCACUCGCAUCCUUGUAUGAGCGCAUUAAUCCGUCAUAAAACGUGACCGAUGCUGAUGCACUUGCGACGUCUCGAGAGCGCGCUCGAAGGAUUCGCUCAAUACCGCCAACAAAAGGUCGUUGUUUCUUCAAGCCCGAACUCGUGAUAAGUGUCACGGCGGCCAUGAAUAUGGAUGCGGAGGAUUCACGAUGGCGGCCGAUCGAUUACCUAACAUGUAACAGGACGGCUUUCCUCCGAGAUGAUACGUAAUACAACGAAGACGUAAUCGGCCUCGAAUCGCAUCACGACGCGCUCCCGUGCACCGGAACACGAUGAUUUUUAUGGAAAUUUCAGCGCAUGCACGACGCAAAAUCUGCCCGAGUUAGGAAGACAAUUAGCUAGCCGCAUAUAUAGAAACAGGAUGUCAAAAUUAUCAUACUGCAUACAUGUAAAGUAAUCAACCGUUUGUGUAUGUGAUUUAACAGCUAAUGUAAAAUAUGGAAUGAACAUAUGUUACGCAAAAUAUUAAAACAAACAAGAUUAUUUGCAAAUUAUAUAUUUACUAAUUAGCACACAACAUUUCAUGUCGUAUCAAUUUUAAAUGACUUGUUUAUCUUAUCGCGUCCACACAAAAUUACAAUAGUUUUGUUUAUGUUUAUUUGUUAAAAUGUACUUCGUAAUGAAUAAAAAUUACAAAAAUUAUCAUUAUGAAGGAAACAA